GACGAACGCUGGCGGCGUGCUUAACACAUGCAAGUCGAACGGAAAGGCCCUGCUUUUGUGGGGUGCUCGAGUGGCGAACGGGUGAGUAACACGGGAGUAACCUGCGCUGUACUUUGGGAUAACUUCAGGAAACUGGGGCUAAUGCCGGAUAGGAGCGCGUGCUGCAUGGUGGGCUUUGGAACGUUUCGGCGGAUGGGGAUGGACUCGCGGCUUAUCAGCUGGUUGGUGGGGGACUGGCUUACCAAGGCUUUGACGGCUAGCCUGCCUGAGAGGGUGACCGGCCACAUUGGGACUGAGAUACGGCCCAGACUCCUACGGGAGGCAGUGGUGGGGAAUAUUGCACAAUGGGCGGAAGCCUGAUGAAGAAAUGCUGCGUGCGGGAUGACGGCCUUCGGGUUGUAAACCGCUUUCGCCUGUGACGAAGCGGGAGUGACGGUAAUGGGUAAAGAAGCACCGGCUAACUACGUG
rnacentral:rRNA from 1 species